GACGAACGCUGGCGGCGUGCUUAACACAUGCAAGUCGAACGAAGAGCGACGGAAGCUUGCUUCUAUCAAUCUUAGUGGCGAACGGGUGAGUAACGCGUAAUCAACCUGUCCUUCAGAGGGGGACAACAGUUGGAAACGACUGCUAAUACCGCAUACGAUCUAAUCUCGGCAUCGAGGAUGGAUGAAAGGUGGCCUCUACAUGUAAGCUAUCACUGAAGGAGGGGAUUGCGUCUGAUUAGCUAGUUGGAGGGGUAACGGCCCACCAAGGCGAUGAUCAGUAGCCGGUCUGAGAGGAUGAACGGCCACAUUGGGACUGAGACACGGCCCAGACUCCUACGGGAGGCAGCAGUGGAGAAUCUUCCGCAAUGGACGAAAGUCUGACGGAGCAACGCCGCGUGAGUGAUGACGGCCUUCGGGUUGUAAAGCUCUGUUAAUCGGGACGAAAGGCCUUCUUGCGAAUAGUGAGAAGGAUUGACGGUACCGGAAUAGAAAGCCACGGCUAA
rnacentral:rRNA from 1 species